UUGAACGCUGGCGGCAUGCCUUACACAUGCAAGUCGAACGGUAACAGGUCUUCGGAUGCUGACGAGUGGCGAACGGGUGAGUAAUACAUCGGAACGUGCCCGAUCGUGGGGGAUAACGCAGCGAAAGCUGUGCUAAUACCGCAUACGAUCUACGGAUGAAAGCGGGGGAUCGCAAGACCUCGCGCGGACGGAGCGGCCGAUGGCAGAUUAGGUAGUUGGUGGGAUAAAAGCUUACCAAGCCGACGAUCUGUAGCUGGUCUGAGAGGACGACCAGCCACACUGGGACUGAGACACGGCCCAGACUCCUACGGGAGGCAGCAGUGGGGAAUUUUGGACAAUGGGCGCAAGCCUGAUCCAGCAAUGCCGCGUGCAGGAAGAAAGCCUUCGGGUUGUAAACUGCUUUUGUACGGAACGAAACGGUCUGGGUUAAUACCUCGGGCUAAUGACGGUACCGUAAGAAUAAGCACCGGCUAACUACGU
rnacentral:rRNA from 1 species